CCCUGAUAUAAAUGUACCACACAUCUACUUGCAAUGAACACCCUGUGUCAUGAAGACCUUUUUCCAUCCCAACAGGAUGAGUCCACUGACAUAAGCGUGACAAAAUUACUUGGUGCCGCAAUAAAUUAUUACAGCAUAAAAAUUGAAUUUAAUUCCAACUAUCUCCGGAGACGCAAUUACUAUCGCAGAAGCUGUUAAACUGGAGCUGCAUAACUUACAUCUAAGUAUAUCAAAUAUGAUUGGGAUUGGCACCGACAAUAGAAGCGUCAUGACAUGGCCAAAAAGAGCGUGUACAUAAAAUUAAAAAAGAGUGUACCCUCUCUAAUAUUGUUGUGUUUGUUCGAGGCAAUAAAAAUUGUUAAAUCUAUUCGCGGGAAAUAUAUGAUAUGUUCAGACUCUCUAUCCUCUAUUCAAGCCAUAUCAAUCCCCGAUAUUUUCAACUAUUAUGAAUCCAAAAUUAGAUCCCUUCUAAUGUAACUAUAAACAAAAAUAAAACUACUCUG